rnacentral:rRNA from 1 species
UACGUAGGGUGCGAGCGUUGUCCGGAAUUAUUGGGCGUAAAGAGCUUGUAGGCGGUUUGUCGCGUCUGCUGUGAAAAUCCGGGGCUCAACCCCGGACUUGCAGUGGGUACGGGCAGACUAGAGUGUGGUAGGGGAGACUGGAAUUCCUGGUGUAGCGGUGAAAUGCGCAGAUAUCAGGAGGAACACCGAUGGCGAAGGCAGCUCGCUGGGACGUUACUGACG